rnacentral:rRNA from 1 species
UACGUAGGGGGCGAGCGUUGUCCGGAUUCAUUGGGCGUAAAGAGCUCGUAGGCGGCUUGGCAAGCCGGGUGUGAAAACUCCAGGCUCAACCUGGAGACGCCACCCGGGACUGCUAUGGCUAGAGUCCGGUAGGGGAUCACGGAAUUCCUGGUGUAGCGGUGAAAUGCGCAGAUAUCAGGAGGAACACCGGUGGCGAAGGCGCCACUCUGGACCGACAUUGACGCUGAGGAGCGAAAGCUAGGGGAGCAAACGGG